AAAGGAAGUUGACGGGGCCCGCACAAGCGGUGGAGUAUGUGGUUUAAUUCGAUGCAACGCGAAGAACCUUACCUGGUCUUGACAUCCCGGAGACCCUAGGAAACUAGGGGUGCUUCCAUCUGGAAGAAUCUGGAGACAGGUGCUGCAUGGCUGUCGUCAGCUCGUGUCGUGAGAUGUUGGGUUAAGUCCCGCAACGAGCGCAACCCUUGCCUUUAGUUGCCAGCAGUUCGGCUGGGCACUCUAAAGGGACUGCCGGUGUUAAACCGGAGGAAGGUGGGGAUGACGUCAAGUCCUCAUGGCCUUUAUGACCAGGGCUACACACGUACUACAAUGGCCGAUACAAAGGGCAGCGACACUGCGAGGUGAAGCCAAUCCCGUAAAAUCGGUCUCAGUCCGGAUUGGAGUCUGCAACUCGACUCCAUGAAGUUGGAAUCGCUAGUAAUCGUGGAUCAGCAUGCCACGGUGAAUACGUUCCCGGGCCUU
rnacentral:rRNA from 1 species